AGUGAACGCUGGCGGCAGGCCUAACACAUGCAAGUCGAACGAACUCUUCGGAGUUAGUGGCGGACGGGUGAGUAACCCGUGGGAACGUGCCUUUAGGUUCGGAAUAACUCUGGGAAACUUGUGCUAAUACCGAAUGUGCCCUUCGGGGGAAAGAUUUAUCGCCUUUCGAGCGUCCCGCGUCUGAUUAGCUUGUUGGUGAGGUAAAGGCUCACCAAGGCGACGAUCAGUAGCUGGUCUGAGAGGAUGAUCAGCCACAUUGGGACUGAGACACGGCCCAAACUCCUACGGGAGGCAGCAGUGGGGAAUCUUGCGCAAUGGGCGAAAGCCCGACGCAGCCAUGCCGCGUGAAUGAUGAAGGUCUUAGGAUUGUAAAAUUCUUUCACCGGGGACGAUAAUGACGGUACCCGGAGAAGAAGCCCCGGCUAACUUCGUG
rnacentral:rRNA from 1 species